rnacentral:rRNA from 1 species
UACGAAGGGUGCAAACGUUGCUCGGAAUCAUUGGGCGUAAAGAGCGUGUAGGCGGCCUGAAAGGUCAGCUGUGAAGACUCGAGGCUCAACCUCGAGACGUCGGUUGAAACCAUCUGGCUAGAGUCCGGAAGAGGAGUGUGGAAUUCCCGGUGUAGCGGUGAAAUGCGCAGAUAUCGGGAAGAACACCCGUGGCGAAGGCGGCACUCUGGGACGGUACUGACGCUGAGACGCGAAAGCGUGGGGAGCGAACAGG